UAAGAUAAUGCCAUGAAUUCG
rnacentral:miRNA from 2 species